AUUGAACGCUGGCGGCAGGCCUAACACAUGCAAGUCGAACGGUAGCACAGAGAGCUUGCUCUUGGGUGACGAGUGGCGGACGGGUGAGUAAUGUCUGGGAAACUGCCCGAUGGAGGGGGAUAACUACUGGAAACGGUAGCUAAUACCGCAUAACGUCGCAAGACCAAAGUGGGGGCCCUUCGGGCCUCACACCAUCGGAUGUGCCCGGAUGGGGUUAUCUAGUUGGUGAGGUAAGGGCUAACCAAGGCGACGAUCCCUAGCUGUUCUGAGAGGAUGACCAGCCACACUGGAACUGAGACACGGUCCAGACUCCUACGGGAGGCAGCAGUGGGGAAUAUUGCACAAUGGGCGCAAGCCUGAUGCAGCCAUGCCGCGUGUAUGAAGAAGGCCUUCGGGUUGUAAAGUACUUUCAGCGAGGAGGGAGGCAUUGUGGUUAAUAACCGCAGUGAUUGACGUUACUCGCAGAAGAAGCACCGGCUAACUCCGUGCCAGCCGCCGCCGUAA
rnacentral:rRNA from 1 species